rnacentral:rRNA from 1 species
UACGUAGGGUGCGAGCGUUGUCCGGAAUUAUUGGGCGUAAAGAGCUUGUAGGCGGUUUGUCGCGUCUGCUGUGAAAAUCCGGGGCUUAACCCCGGGCCUGCAGUGGGUACGGGCAGACUAGAGUGCGGUAGGGGAGACUGGAAUUCCUGGUGUAGCGGUGAAAUGCGCAGAUAUCAGGAGGAACACCGGUGGCGAAGGCGGUUCUCUGGGCCUGUACUGACGCUGAGGAACGAAAGCGUGGGGAGCGAACAGG